AUGUCUCCUGUUGCACAGAAGACAGAGAAUGAGACUUACCUGCAGAGGAGAAAAGAUGAAGGCAACAGUGACAAAAGCAGCAGUGAGAGCAUUCAAGGACUCUCCCUAAUACUGUGGGAUCAUAGGAGAAUCCUGAGACAUACCCAGGAAACUGAAGAAGGGGAACUGAAAUGUUUGUCAAAGGAAGCCAGAAGAAUAGAUGAGAAACAAGGUCGGGGGCGGAAACAGAGACAAAGAAGUUUGGCAAGAAGCACAGCGGUUUAUAUACUGUGCUGUUCUGUGAUUCAUUUUACACUGACUUACCAUGUGAAGACAAUGAGUGCCACUCUGGCAAAGGGUUUGCCAAGCAAGGAUGUCAACUGGGUUUCAGAAUCCUCUAACUUACUAGACUAA
rnacentral:lncRNA from 1 species